rnacentral:rRNA from 1 species
UUGAUCCUGGCUCAGAAUGAACGCUGGCGGCGUGCCUAACACAUGCAAGUCGAGCGAGAAAGCUUCUUCGGAAGUAAGUACAGCGGCGGACGGGUGAGUAACACGUGAGAAUCUGCCCUUUAGUGAAGAAUACCCUCGAGAAAUUGAGGUUAAUGCUGCAUACGUCCCUCCGGGGAGAAAGGUGGCUUUAUGCUGCCGCUAAAGGAUGAGCUUGCGGGCUAUUAGCUUGUUGGUGAGGUAAAGGCUCACCAAGGCUAUGAUGGCUAGCCGGCCUGAGAGGGUGUUCGGCCACAUUGGAACUGAGAUACGGUCCAGACUCCUACGGGAGGCAGCAGUGGGGAAUAUUGCGCAAUGGGCGAAAGCCUGACGCAGCGACGCCGCGUGGAGGAUGAAGGCUUUUGGGUCGUAAACUCCUGUUAGGUGGGAAGAAAAUCCUGUUUUUAAUACAAACAGGUUAUGACGGUACCACCAGAGAAAGCACCGGCUAACUUCGUGCCAGCAGCCGCGGUAAUACGAGGGGUGUAAGCGUUAUUCGGAAUUACUGGGCGUAAAGGGUGCGU